AUUGAACGCUGGCGGCAGGCUUAACACAUGCAAGUCGAGCGGAGAUGAGGUGCUUGCACCUUAUCUUAGCGGCGGACGGGUGAGUAAUGCCUAGGAAUCUGCCCGGUAGUGGGGGACAACGUUUCGAAAGGAACGCUAAUACCGCAUACGUCCUACGGGAGAAAGUGGGGGCUCUUCGGACCUCACGCUAUCGGAUGAGCCUAGGUCGGAUUAGCUAGUUGGUGGGGUAAGGGCCCACCAAGGCGACGAUCCGUAACUGGUCUGAGAGGAUGAUCAGUCACACUGGAACUGAGACACGGUCCAGACUCCUACGGGAGGCAGCAGUGGGGAAUAUUGGACAAUGGGCGAAAGCCUGAUCCAGCCAUGCCGCGUGUGUGAAGAAGGUCUUCGGAUUGUAAAGCACUUUAAGUCGGGAGGAAGGGCUGCCGGUUAAUACCCUGCAGCCUUGACGUUACCGACAGAAUAAGCACCGGCUAACUUCGUGC
rnacentral:rRNA from 1 species